rnacentral:rRNA from 1 species
UACGAAGGGUGCAACGUUGCUCGGAAUUAUUGGGCGUAAAGCGCACGUAGGCGGCUUAGCAAGUCGGAAGUGAAAUCCCUCGGCUCAACCAAGGAAGUGCUUUCGAAACUGCUGAGCUUGAGUACUUGAAGAGGAUCGCGGAAUUCCCGGUGUAGAGGUGAAAUUCGUAGAUAUCGGGAGGAACACCAGUGGCGAAGGGCGGCG